rnacentral:rRNA from 1 species
GGGUUGUGAGGUUAAGCGACUAAGCGUACACGGUGGAUGCCCUGGCAGUCAGAGGCGAUGAAGGGCGUGCUAAUCUGCGAUAAGCGCCGGUAAGGUGAUAUGAACCGUUAUAACCGGCGAUACCCGAAUGGGGAAACCCAGUGUGACUCGUCACACUAUCAUUAACUGAAUCCAUAGGUUAAUGAGGCGAACCGGGGGAACUGAAACAUCUAAGUACCCCGAGGAAAAGAAAUCAACCGAGAUUCCCCCAGUAGCGGCGAGCGAACGGGGAGGAGCCCAGAGCCUGAAUCAGCAUGUGUGUUAGUGGAAGCGUCUGGAAAGGCGCGCGAUACAGGGUGACAGCCCCGUACACAAAAGCGCAUGUGCUGUGAGCUCGAUGAGUAGGGCGGGACACGUGGUAUCCUGUCUGAAUAUGGGGGGACCAUCCUCCAAGGCUAAAUACUCCUGACUGACCGAUAGUGAACCAGUACCGUGAGGGAAAGGCGAAAAGAACCCCGGCGAGGGGAGUGAAAAAGAACCUGAAACCGUGUACGUACAAGCAGUGGGAGCACNNNNNNNNNNNNNNNNNNNNNNNNNNNNNGGGCGUUAAGUUGCAGGGUAUAGACCCGAAACCCGGUGAUCUAGCCAUGGGCAGGUUGAAGGUUGGGUAACACUAACUGGAGGACCGAACCGACUAAUGUUGAAAAAUUAGCGGAUGACCUGUGGCUGGGGGUGAAAGGCCAAUCAAACCGGGAGAUAGCUGGUUCUCCCCGAAAGCUAUUUAGGUAGCGCCUCGUGAAUUCAUCUCCGGGGGUAGAGCACUGUUUCGGCUAGGGGGCCAUCCCGGCUUACCAACCCGAUGCAAACUGCGAAUACCGGAGAAUGUUAUCACGGGAGACACACGGCGGGUGCUAACGUCCGUCGUGAAGAGGGAAACAACCCAGACCGCCAGCUAAGGUCCCAAAGUCAUGGUUAAGUGGGAAACGAUGUGGGAAGGCCCAGACAGCCAGGAUGUUGGCUUAGAAGCAGCCAUCAUUUAAAGAAAGCGUAAUAGCUCACUGGUCGAGUCGGCCUGCGCGGAAGAUGUAACGGGGCUAAACCAUGCACCGAAGCUGCGGCAGCGACACUGUGUGUUGUUGGGUAGGGGAGCGUUCUGUAAGCCUGCGAAGGUGGCCUGUGAGGGUUGCUGGAGGUAUCAGAAGUGCGAAUGCUGACAUAAGUAACGAUAAAGCGGGUGAAAAGCCCGCUCGCCGGAAGACCAAGGGUUCCUGUCCAACGUUAAUCGGGGCAGGGUGAGUCGACCCCUAAGGCGAGGCCGAAAGGCGUAGUCGAUGGGAAACGGGUUAAUAUUCCCGUACUUGGUGUUACUGCGAAGGGGGGACGGAGAAGGCUAUGUUGGCCGGGCGACGGUUGUCCCGGUUUAAGCGUGUAGGUGUGUGUUCCAGGUAAAUCCGGUUCACUUUAACACUGAGGCGUGACGACGAGGCACUACGGUGCUGAAGCAACAAAUGCCCUGCUUCCAGGAAAAGCCUCUAAGCAUCAGGUAACAUCAAAUCGUACCCCAAACCGACACAGGUGGUCAGGUAGAGAAUACCAAGGCGCUUGAGAGAACUCGGGUGAAGGAACUAGGCAAAAUGGUGCCGUAACUUCGGGAGAAGGCACGCUGACACGUAGGUGAAGUGAUUUACUCAUGGAGCUGAAGUCAGUCGAAGAUACCAGCUGGCUGCAACUGUUUAUUAAAAACACAGCACUGUGCAAACACGAAAGUGGACGUAUACGGUGUGACGCCUGCCCGGUGCCGGAAGGUUAAUUGAUGGGGUCAGCGCAAGCGAAGCUCCUGAUCGAAGCCCCGGUAAACGGCGGCCGUAACUAUAACGGUCCUAAGGUAGCGAAAUUCCUUGUCGGGUAAGUUCCGACCUGCACGAAUGGCGUAAUGAUGGCCAGGCUGUCUCCACCCGAGACUCAGUGAAAUUGAACUCGCUGUGAAGAUGCAGUGUACCCGCGGCAAGACGGAAAGACCCCGUGAACCUUUACUAUAGCUUGACACUGAACAUUGAGCCUUGAUGUGUAGGAUAGGUGGGAGGCUUUGAAGUGUGGACGCCAGUCUGCAUGGAGCCGACCUUGAAAUACCACCCUUUAAUGUUUGAUGUUCUAACGUGGACCCGUUACCCGGGUUGCGGACAGUGUCUGGUGGGUAGUUUGACUGGGGCGGUCUCCUCCUAAAGAGUAACGGAGGAGCACGAAGGUUGGCUAAUCCUGGUCGGACAUCAGGAGGUUAGUGCAAUGGCAUAAGCCAGCUUGACUGCGAGCGUGACGGCGCGAGCAGGUGCGAAAGCAGGUCAUAGUGAUCCGGUGGUUCUGAAUGGAAGGGCCAUCGCUCAACGGAUAAAAGGUACUCCGGGGAUAACAGGCUGAUACCGCCCAAGAGUUCAUAUCGACGGCGGUGUUUGGCACCUCGAUGUCGGCUCAUCACAUCCUGGGGCUGAAGUAGGUCCCAAGGGUAUGGCUGUUCGCCAUUUAAAGUGGUACGCGAGCUGGGUUUAGAACGUCGUGAGACAGUUCGGUCCCUAUCUGCCGUGGGCGCUGGAGAACUGAGGGGGGCUGCUCCUAGUACGAGAGGACCGGAGUGGACGCAUCACUGGUGUUCGGGUUGUCAUGCCAAUGGCACUGCCCGGUAGCUAAAUGCGGAAGAGAUAAGUGCUGAAAGCAUCUAAGCACGAAACUUGCCCCGAGAUGAGUUCUCCCUGAGACUUAGAGUCUCCUGAAGGAACGUUGAAGACGACGACGUUGAUAGGCCGGGUGUGUAAGCGCAGCGAUGCGUUGAGCUAACCGGUACUAAUGAACCGUGAGGCUUAACCUUACAACGCCGAAG